ACCUACGGGGGGCAGCAGUGGGGAAUAUUGCACAAUGGGGGAAACCCUGAUGCAGCGACGCCGCGUGAGCGAAGAAGUAUUUCGGUAUGUAAAGCCCUAUCAGCAGGGAAGAAAAUGACGGUACCUGAGUAAGAAGCUCCGGCUAAAUACGUGCCAGCAGCCGCGGUAAUACGUAUGGGGCAAGCGUUAUCCGGAUUUACUGGGUGUGAAGGGAGCGCAGACGGCAGUGCAAGUCUGGAGUGAAAGCCCGGGGCCCAACCCCGGAACUGCUCUGGAAACUGUGCGGCUAGAGUACUGGAGGGGCA
rnacentral:rRNA from 1 species